GCGGCCGCCGGGUAUGGCACCGAGAGGGACGGGGCGAAGCUGGCCCCGGAGCGCGACCCGGAGGAGGACGAGGACGAGGAGGAGGCGGCUGCGCUGCUCCUGCCUCUCCUCUUUACACCGCGACCGUUCUCCCGAGCCACUUCCCUCCGGGUCCGUGCUCGCUGAGCGACACCGCAGGAGUGUACCUGAGGGCAGCCCGCGGGCCGCUGAGCGGCUAACUCCUCUGCGCUGCCUGUAGUUGGCUUGGUCACCUCACGGCAGCCUGUACCCCACUAUGGCAGGAGUAAAGGCUUUUCUGAAACGAUUCUUAGCAGUGACAGAGGUUCACUUUGGGAAGAUAUGUUUGUUAAAGGUAAAUGGGACCUGAAAAGGUCCAACAGAGUCAAAAAAGUGCUGGAGGACUCUUGCAGCCUCAAGCUACUUACAUCUUGUCUCUGGCCCCGUGAUGCUGGGCAGCUGAGUAUUCCAACUGAGGUGAAAAGAACAGACCCUAAUGAACAGCUGAGGCUGUUGCACAGUGUAGUAACUUGGUCUUCCUCCUGAUCAACCUGACAACCCUUCCUUCAAGAUUCUAAAUGCUCUUGCUGGUGUGCAUUACCAUCUUCCAAACAACUCAUCUGAUUCUACAGAACAGCAAGAAUUAUCACUCUCCAUCCACUCUUUUAGUUGCAACAUCUAUUAUGUACUCUACUUAAAAUGCCCCACAAACCCAGUUCGUCACGUCUCCUGCAGUCCUUAGGAUUCUGGUCUUUAAAUACAUGACAGUCUCUCGCAUGGAAAACUGGGGAUUUAUUCUGAAGCAGGCAGUGAGGUGGUCUCAUGGUCAGUUUGCACUGGCUAUUUCAUUCUCAAAACCCUGCAAUCCUACUCUAGUUUUGUAUCUUCCUGCAUGCAAUCUUUCAGUUUUGAACUACUAUCGUAUGAGGUAAGACAACUAAGAUCUUAUGUCUCAAAGUCAUCUACAUUUAUUUUAUAGUUUAAGUAGUGGGGUUGAUAUUUAUUGGACUAAGGCCAGCCAAAUCAGCAUGAACUAUCUCA